ACGCUGGCGGCACGCCUAACACAUGCAAGUCGAACGAAGUAGCAAUACUUAGUGGCAGACGGGUGAGUAACAUGUAGGUAUCUGCCCUUUGGCCUGGAAUAACACGAGGAAACUUGUGCUAAUACCGGAUAAGUCUUUACGGAGAAAGCUUUAUGCACCAUUGGAUGAGCCUGCACUUGAUUAGUUUGUUGGUGGGGUAAUGGCCUACCAAGACUGUGAUCAAUAGCUGAUUUGAGAGGAUGAUCAGCCACAUUGGGACUGAGACACGGCCCAAACUCCUACGGGAGGCAGCAGUGGGGAAUCUUGCACAAUGGAGGAAACUCUGAUGCAGCGAUGCCGCGUGAGUGAAGAAGGCCUUUGGGUUGUAAAGCUCUUUCGUCGGGGAAGAAAAUGACUGUACCCGAAUAAGAAGGUCCGGCUAACUUCGUGCCAGCAGCCGCGGUAAUACGAAGGGACCUAGCGUAGUUCGGAAUUACUGGGCUUAAAGAGUUCGUAGGUGGUUGAAAAAGUUAGUGGUGAAAUCCCAGAGCUUAACUCUGGAACUGCCAUUAAAACUUUUCAGCUAGAGUAUGAUAGAGGAAAGCAGAAUUUCUAGUGUAGAGGUGAAAUUCGUAGAUAUUAGAAAGAAUACCAAUUGCGAAGGCAGCUUUCUGGAUCAUUACUGACACUGAGGAACGAAAGCAUGGGUAGCGAAGAGGAUUAGAUACCCUCGUAGUCCAUGCCGUAAACGAUGUGUGUUAGACGUUGGAAAUUUAUUUUCAGUGUCGCAGGGAAACCGAUAAACACACCGCCUGGGGAGUACGACCGCAAGGUUAAAACUCAAAUGAAUUGACGGGGACCCGCACAAGUAGUGGAGCAUGUGGUUUAAUUCGAAGAUACGCGCAGAACCUUACCAACACUUGACAUGUUCGUCGCGACUCUAAGAGAUUAGAGUUUUCGGUUCGGCCGGACGAAACACAGGUGCUGCAUGGCUGUCGUCAGCUCGUGUCGUGAGAUGUUGGGUUAAGUCCCGCAACGAGCGCAACCCUCACUUUUAGUUGCCAUCAUUAAGUUGGGCACUCUGAAAGAACUGCCAGUGAUAAGCUGGAAGAAGGUGGGGAUGACGUCAAGUCCUCAUGGCCCUUACGUGUUGGGCUACACACGUGCUACAAUGGUAUCUACAACAGGAAGCAAGACUGCGAAGUUAAGCAAAUCCCUAAAAGAUACCUCAGUUCGGAUUGCACUCUGCAACUCGAGUGCAUGAAGCUGGAAUUACUAGUAAUCGUGGAUCAGCGUGCCACGGUGAAUGCGUUCCCGGGUCUUGUACACACCGCCCGUCA
rnacentral:rRNA from 1 species